CCUACGGGAGGCAGCAGUGGGGAAUUUUCCGCAAUGGGCGAAAGCCUGACGGAGCAAUACCGCGUGAGGGAUGAAGGCUCUUGGGUCGUAAACCUCUUUUCUCAAGGAAGAUAAUGACGGUACUUGAGGAAUCAGCAUCGGCUAACUCCGUGCCAGCAGCCGCGGUAAUACGGAGGAUGCAAGCGUUAUCCGGAAUGAUUGGGCGUAAAGCGUCCGCAGGUGGUUUUGUAAGUCUGCUGUUAAAGCGUCAUGCUCAACAUGAUUAAGGCGGUGGAAACUACAAGACUAGAGUGCGUUAGGGGUGAAGGGAAUUCCUGGUGUAGCGGUGAAAUGCGUAGAGAUCAGGAAGAACACCGGUGGCGAAGGCGCUUCACUAUGCCGCAACUGACACUGAGGGACGAAAGCUAGGGGAGCGAAUGGGAUUAGAUACCCCCAGUAGUCCUAGCCGUAAACGAUGACACUAGUGUGUNUGUAUCGACCGACGCAGUGCGUACGCACGACGUAGUGUCCGCCGUCGGGAGGUACGCACGCGAGUGUGAACACAAAUAGAAGUUAGUACGGCGUGAGACGUGCCGACGGACGACGACGAGGGAGGUUAGG
rnacentral:rRNA from 1 species